UACGGAGGGUGCAAGCGUUGUUCGGAUUUAUUGGGCGUACAGCGCGUGUAGGCGGUCUGUUAAGUCUGAUGUGAAAGCCCGGAGCUCAACUCCGGAAGUGCAUUGGAUACUGGCAGACUAGAGGACGAGAGAGGGAAGUGGAAUUCCUGGUGUAGGGGUGAAAUCCGUAGAUAUCAGGAGGAACAUCAGAGGCGAAGGCGGCUUCCUGGCUCGUUACUGACGCUAAGACGCGAAAGCGUGGGGAGCAAACAGG
rnacentral:rRNA from 1 species